rnacentral:rRNA from 1 species
UACGUAGGUUGCGAGCGUUAUCCGGAUUUACUGGGCGUAAAGCGCACCGAGGUGGCUUCUUAAGUCGGAUGUAAAAUCUCCUGGCUCAACUGGGAGGCGCCAUUCGAAACUGGGAAGCUUGAGUCCAGCAGGGGAAAGUGGAAUUCCCGGUGUAGUGGUGGAAUGCGUAGAGAUCGGGAGGAACACCAGUGGCGAAAGCGGCUUUCUGGGCUGCGACUGACACUCUAGUGCGAAAGCGUGGGGAGCAAAC